GGAGGCAUUAAUGCACCACAAAACGAACACUACUUCUGUGUUCUAUUUCAAUCCAGCCAUAUAAACCACAAAACAGCGAAGAAGCAAACUUGCCAUAGCACACAGCCUUUCCUCCAAAAUGGAAGAUCAAUACAACUUUCUCCAUCAUCCUCAAAGGCUCAACUUCUAAUAAGCUAAAUACAAGUAAAAAACUUUAUCAAAACCAAACUUGUACAAGUCCCAGCAAUUUCAAAAUCUAAAUCAAGAUCAAAAGUAGAUAUUGUCCACAAAAUAUUUAGAAGUGUUUACUCUUCCCAUGGCUCGCUGGAGCAGGUUUGAGCAGGAGAUUGUGAGUUUUUCCAGUUGUCGUUUGGGUUCGUCUCUUUGGGUUUUACAGUCUAGAAGGAGGAGGCUCAGAAGUCGUGGGAGACAAACGCACGAGAGGUCAUGAACGGAGGUGAACCGGGGUUGAAGACUCGUGAGGAGGAGAUCUACACAUUCCUUGAAGAGGUCGAGAGGUAAAAACACCUAUAGGAGAAAAUCAAGAACAAAAAUCCAAAGCUACGGUUUGAGUUUUUCCCCAACCUUGAUCGACCAUAUCUUCCUCGUUUUUUCAUGAGAACUUGUUCUAUGGUGUUCUUGGAUUGUAGAUGUACAAGUUUGAUUUUGAAAAUGACUCAAUUAGGGUUUUUUGUGCUAGGGUUUUGCGUUGUAAGGUCAUUUAUUCAAUUCCACAUGGUCCUUUUCUUCUUAGUUUUUGUUUUA